rnacentral:lncRNA from 1 species
GGUUGCAUGUCGAGGGAAGGCUUGCAGUUUCCUUUGUCCAAACACAAAAUUUGCGAGAUACCAUUUCGAAUUUCCAAGUGUUUUUGAUGAAGUUAUUCUAUGGUUUAGUUAUCACGUGUGUACAAAAGUACUCAAAUUGAAUAGAUUAAUACUCCGAACAACCCGCUACCAGGGAUGAAUAUAUAACUAACAACAGGUUUGUGAAGAUAAAUGGACAUUCUGUAACAGCAUGACAGAAUUGUGUUCCCUUAACCAUACUAGCGAGAACUGCCAAAAGACAUGUAAGCUGUGCCUAGAACACAUUGAUACUACAACAACUUUUACCACAUUUAACACAACCCCUUCAGAUUGCUUUGACAAGUUCGAUACGUUCGGUGAGUAUCUAUCCUAUUGUUCCGAUAAGAUGAUCGUUGAUAAUUGUCCAAGAUCAUCUAAGUUGUGCCCAGGGCAAGGAAAACCACAACUAAAAAGCCUGACACAAACUGUGUCGACUCACUCUCAAAUUGUGAUAGUCUUGAGGAUUUUUCUUAUCAUUCUUAUUUAAAAGAAAAUUGUAAAGUCACUUGCAACAAUUGUUAAAUCCAGAUUGAAAACAAGGCCGGAUUUAUGAUAGUAACUGAAUGUGGGGACACCCGAGCGCCGCGUAAACACACUACAAAAAGUUUUUAACUCUUAACGACAGCUCCAGCGUCCCACAAAACCUCCGCAGAGAAAUUGCUCAAAACAUUUAGAAUCGCCAUAGCUCAUGGACAGCACACUCGAGAGUUAUUCUCGUGAAAUUGGUGUGUGUACGUUCGCACCCUGGUGAUUCCUCGGAGAAAGAAAUAUACUACAUAUAUAUAUAUG